rnacentral:rRNA from 1 species
AACGAACGCUGGCGGCAGGCCUAACACAUGCAAGUCGAGCGGACCUUUCGGGGUCCGCGGCGGACGGGUGAGUAACGCGUGGGAAUAUGCCCUUCUCUACGGAAUAGUCCUGGGAAACUGGGGGUAAUACCGUAUACGCCCUUUGGGGGAAAGAUUUAUCGGGGAAGGAUUAGCCCGCGUUGGAUUAGGUAGUUGGUGGGGUAAUGGCCUACCAAGCCGACGAUCCAUAGCUGGUUUGAGAGGAUGAUCAGCCACACUGGGACUGAGACACGGCCCAGACUCCUACGGGAGGCAGCAGUGGGGAAUCUUAGACAAUGGGGGCAACCCUGAUCUAGCCAUGCCGCGUGAGUGAUGAAGGCCUUAGGGUUGUAAAGCUCUUUCAGCUGGGAAGAUAAUGACGGUACCAGCAGAAGAAGCCCCGGCUAACUCCGUG